GCAGUCGAACGGUAACAGGGAGCUUGCUCCGCUGACGAGGGGCGAAGGGGUGAGUAAUGCAUCGGAACGUACCCCGUCGUGGGGGAUAACGUAACGCAAGUUACGCUAAUACCGCAUACGUCCUGAGGGAGAAAGCGGGGGACCGAAAGGCCUCGCGCGAUUGGAGCGGCCGAUGUCGGAUUAUCUAGUUGGUAGGGUAAAGGCCUACCAAGGCGACGAUCCGUAGCGGGUCUGAGAGGAUGAUCCGCCACACUGGGACUGAGACACGGCCCACACUCCUACAGGAGGCAGCAGUGGGGAAUUUUGGACAAUGGGCGCAAGCCUGAUCCACCCAUGCCGCGUGAGUGAAGAAAGCCUUCAGGUUGUAAAGCUCUUUCAGGUGGAAAGAAAACGCAUGGGUCAAUACCCUGUGUGGAUGACGGUACCAUCCCAAGAAGCACCGGCUAACUACUUGCCAGCCCC
rnacentral:rRNA from 1 species